rnacentral:rRNA from 1 species
GAUGAACGCUGGCGGCGUGCCUAAUACAUGCAAGUCGAGCGAACGGACGAGAAGCUUGCUUCUCUGAUGUUAGCGGCGGACGGGUGAGUAACACGUGGAUAACCUACCUAUAAGGCUGGGAUAACUUCGGGAAACCGUAGCUAAUACCGGAUAAUAUUUUGAACCGCAUGGUUCAAAAGUGAAAGACGGUCUUGCUGUCACUUAUAGAUGGAUCCGCGCUGCAUUAGCUAGUUGGUAAGGUAACGGCUUACCAAGGCGACGAUGCAUAGCCGACCUGAGAGGGUGAUCAGCCACACUGGAACUGAGACACGGUCCAGACUCCUACGGGAGGCAGCAGUAGGGAAUCUUCCGCAAUGGGCGAAAGCCUGACGGAGCAACGCCGCGUGAGUGAUGAAGGUCUUCGGAUCGUAAAACUCUGUUAUUAGGGAAGAACAUAAGUGUAAGUAACUGUGCACAUCUUGACGGUACCUAAUCAGAAAGCCACGGCUAACUACGUG